GGUGUGGGUUUUUUUUGUUGUUGUUUUGUUGUUUUUGUUUUUGUUUUUUGAGACAGAGUCUCACUCUGGAGCCCAGGCUGGAGUGUAGUGGCACAAUCUCGGCUCACUGCAACCUCUGCCUCCUGGGUCCAAGCGAUUCUCCUGUCUCAGCCUCCCAAAUAGCUGGGAUUACAGGCACCCGCCACCAUGCCUGGCUAAUUUUUUGUAUUUUUAGUAGAGUUGAAGUUUCACCAUGUUGGCCAGACUGGUCUCAAACUCCUGACCUCAGGUGAUCCACCCGCCUUGGCCUCCCAAAAUGCUGGGAUUACAGGCGUGAGCCACCACACGCAGCCACAGGUGUGUUUUUAGUAGAGACGGUGUUUCGCCAUGUUGACCAGACUGGUCUGGAAUUCCUGACCUCAAGUGAUCCACCUGCCUUGACCUCCCAAAGUGCUGGGAUUACAUGAGCCACUGCGCCCAGCCCAAGGCAUUCAUUAAUUUCACAUUUCAUGUGUAGCAGAAUCAAAGAAAGCAAACACAAAUCCAGGUUAAGUGUCUAUUCCAGUGAAGACACAGAGGCAUCCCUUUCCUGGUGGGAGGGGUCUAAUGUUUAAUCUAAGGUGUAAUGUAAUAAACCUGCCACCAGGUAGCUGGCUAGUCUCCUCAAUGACUAGAACCAUAACAGAGACUGAGAGCCCGCAUGCUGUGAAUUAGGCUCACAACAGUGGCGGUCGUCAGGUCCACUUUGAUAAGAGAAGGUUUGUGUUGUUGACAAAGCACAAGAUCUCUAUUCCUGCCACUAUGACCUUUUGCACAAGGCCUGGGGUGUUGGAGAAGGAGGCCCCUGACAUCCGCAGGGCAGGUCAUCUCACCCACUCACCUUUUAUGAAGUGGAGGUCUUUUGAUAAGAAUUCAUAUGGGACACAAACAUACGACCCAGAAACGUCUACCUCCCGUGGUUAUUGAGAAGCAUCAGUGAGCCAAUAUAUCGGACAUGUAUGCCACACAAUUUGUUUUCAAUAACUGACAGUUACUUUUUUUUCUCUGAGAGGGACUCUCGCUCUGUUGCCCAGGCUGGAGUGCAGUGGUGUGAUCACGGCUCACUGCAAGCUCCGCCUCCCAGGUUCACACCAUUCUCCUGCUUCAGCCUCCCCAGCAGCUGGGACUAUAGGCACCUGCCACCACACCUGGCUACUUUUUUUGUAUUUUUAGUAAAGACAGGGUUUGACCGUGUUAGCCAGGAUGGUCUCGAUCUCCCGACCUAGUGAUCCACCUGCCUCAGCCUCCCAAAGUGCUGGGAUUACAGGCGUGAGCCACCGCGCCCGGCCGACAGUUACUAAAUAACACAGUAUGUGCAAUGUAAAAAUAUAACCUAAAAUCACAUUGAAAAAAACACAAUAAAGAGAAAAUAUAAAGUAUACCAUUUGUACAGUGCAUAAAGCAACACUGAAAACAGGCCCUGGCACCCAAAGAAACCGUGUUUAUUUUCUAAGAAAGACUUUAUUGACUUUGGUCAAAUUCAAUACUAGUUACUCUAAUCAGGAAAAAAAAAGAUGGUAUUUUUAUUUAAAAUCAAAGUUACAAUGUCAGGUUCAGUUGCUGUAGUUGCCUAGAACUUUAUGGAUACCUGGUAUUUAUGGGUCUGCGUACCUUGGAUUGAAGUGGAUUCAUGUGACACAGAAAACCACAGAAGGGAAAGUAUUUACAGUUUUUUUUGUAAAGGGAAGUGUUUUGUAAGUUAAUGCUUUACUUUUAUGUGACUUUCUCCCCCUAAUGAUCUAAAACUGCAUGGUAGGCAACUGUGGUCACCACUUCGCAAAAUGGGCCAUAAAUUUCAUUAAUAAUCCAAUUGAUAUUAUGUGGGUCCAGGGUAGGAAAAAAGAUUGCUCCAGGUUUUGUGGAGCUACCAUCCCAUGUGGAUGAAACAGCGUAUUGCUGACAGAGGCACACGUACGGAGCCACAGGGUAAAACACAGAGCUGCAAGACGCCCAUGUUACAUGAUGGGUGAGCAUCUGUAGUUUCCUUCCUCUUAGUCCCUGUGGAAACAGCCUCGAUCCAGAAGGAGAAGGACUGCUCUUGGUGCAUGGGUGGGUGAAGGCUGAACUCUGAGGAAGCAGCUGAGGCUUGAAGGAGAGGCUCUGCGGCCAGGGCGCACGCAGGAAAUGAAGGGACUCAGAUAGGAUGAAGGGUUUCAGGUGACUUUUCAUGUUGAGCACAGAGCUGGUCAAGAAAACUACAAAUCAACACUCCUAGUCUCCUAACAUUACUGGGAGACCCGCCUCCUUGAUAUCUCAUGAAUCGCAGAAUUUCCCAGAUAAAGUAGCUCAUUUAAUUAUCCUCUUUGCUGCUAUCACUAAACCAGUUCAUUUUCCCACAGUUUCCUAGUCUUAUCACAGAUAGUAGAGAUGGAAAACCUAAAUUACACUCUAAUGGAUGAAAUGUCAGUUCGAAAAUCCCAUGAUUUGCAGCACUUUUCUCUAGCAUUACAGAAUUUCCCCUACAAAGCUUCACAGCCAUCAGACUUUCAUCUUAACUCUGGCUUGACACUUCCCUGCAGUUCCCGUUCUACCAUUUCGUGUGUGUGUGUGUGUGUGUGUGUGUGUGUGUGCACGCUAUUGCAAAUGCCUUGGUUGUCCAAGAUUUGUAUGUUUCACCGCCCCCCCACCAUGUAUGUUAUUAUGGUAGCAGUCACAUAAUUGGCUCCCAAUAAACAUUUACUUGCAAUUUGAGAAAAAUU
rnacentral:lncRNA from 1 species